UUCUCAUGUUACCAUCCGCACGGCAUACCCGUGAUUGAUAACUGACCCGCAGGUUAUCCAGCGUUUGCCAUCUCCCUCGCCUCCAGGCAUCUCGAGAUAUGUCUGCACAACCCGACUGAGUUCCAUGACUCGCCUGUCCCACUUGGCAGUCGCGACUAGUGUCAUGCAACCCUCCUCUCGAGGAACCAGAGACCACACACCAGCGUGGCGAGGUACGCGUGACGGAGCGAGCAAGUGAGUCAGAAGCUGAGGACCAGAGUACUGCGUCUGUGGCUUGUGGAUGAAUGCCUCUAUCGGUGUACUACUCCGAGUGAUUCAUUCACCUUGACAAAUGCAGAAAACAAGCUGCAUGGCAUCAUUAGCUGCUCAAUUUGCCCAGCUGGCAGCAGAAUUGGACAGCAUACUGGGGGAAAUUUGCCCUGUGUGACACUGCCUUAAGUGUUAUGGAAUACUGUGACGGCCAAAACCGUACCAAAAAUUAAAUGACCAGCCAAUAUCAAAUGCACCAACUUCUCCAAAACACCAGAAAAAACAUAGGCAAGAGAUAUGAGUUUGCAGUGUUGUUGUAAAACAUGUGCUGUAGUUGACUGCACAAACAUAUCACAAAAGAAGAACCAAGGUGUGAAAGGAUGGGUUGUACUUCCAAAAAAAGGAAGCAGCAACUCAGGGAACACAUUAGGAGACAUGUUGUAAAUAGAUAAGCAGCAACUCAGAAAAGACGUUGGGAGACACAAUGUAAACAAUCUUUGCCAGUGUUUGGAUUAGAUCUGGCAUCAAAACACGGUUGUUUCUUCUAUAUGUGCCAGCAUUUAUUAAGUUUAUAUUAAUUGUAUAACUGAAAUAAAAUAAACUUAUAUUGAGAAGAUAAAAUAGCAUUCAUCCCUAGAUGAUGAUAUACCCCAAAUCUCAAAUAAUAUAUAAUGUGUAUAGUAUUUAGCUCGUUUUGACAUAUUUCUUGCUCUCUAUUUCAUAAUGGUGGCUAAAAAUGUUACUAAUAUUUUAUUAGUUGGUUUGAUACCAUACAAAUGACCAACUAUUUUUUCAGCAUACCAAGUUUGUGUAAAAUUAAGUCAGCUGGUGAAUCUGGCAGUUCUUUCAGACCAUUUUGAAUGCCCCAUUUAUGAUUCUGUCAACCUUCUUUUGUGUGAAAUAUUUCUUUAAUAAUGCUUUUAUGAUAAUUUCAAGUAAAUA